AGUGAACGCUGGCGGUAGGCCUAACACAUGCAAGUCGAACGGCAGCACAGUAAGAGCUUGCUCUUACGGGUGGCGAGUGGCGGACGGGUGAGGAAUACAUCGGAAUCUACUUUUUCGUGGGGGAUAACGUAGGGAAACUUACGCUAAUACCGCAUACGACCUACGGGUGAAAGCAGGGGAUCUUCGGACCUUGCGCGAUUGAAUGAGACGAUGUCGGAUUAGCUAGUUGGCGGGGUAAAGGCCCACCAAGGCGACGAUCCGUAGCUGGUCUGAGAGGAUGAUCAGCCACACUGGAACUGAGACACGGUCCAGACUCCUACGGGAGGCAGCAGUGGGGAAUAUUGGACAAUGGGCGCAAGCCUGAUCCAGCCGUACCGCGUGGGUGAAGAAGGCCUUCGGGUUGUAAAGCCCUUUUGUUGGGAAAGAAAAGCAGCAGGUUAAUACCCCGCUGUUCUGACGGUACCCAAAGAAUAAGCACCGGCUAACUUCGUG
rnacentral:rRNA from 1 species